rnacentral:lncRNA from 1 species
GGGGGGGCAUAGGCAUGACAAGGUCAUGAAGUUUAGAUGCCUUUCCUCUUUUCUGUCAGUUGGAUUAAACUCCAUGCAUCAGGAAGCGUUAUUAGCAAAAAAAAAAUUUGCACUGACAUUGUGUUUAGAUGUUUUUGAACAGACAUUUGUGUUUAGGAUUAGAUAAGCUGGAAAUGUUUAGUUGACUUAUUAACAUCAGUGUCUUCCGAAAAAGACUUAUCAACAUCAGUUCUUGAUGGAAGAUGUGUGAUGAAGUGAAAGAACUUGAGUUCCAGUUCUUAUAUAUGCAUGGUUGAACCUUAUUAGCUAGAUACCAAACCUAGUUAUUAAUUAACUAGCAUAGUACUUUAUCACAUGAUAUAUGCAUCAAUGUAUUCGUGUCUUGAAUGUAUUAAGAUUAAAUGUCAUCUCCCGCUCUUAUCAUUGUUGAACACUACUAUUUUUUGGAAAGUCAU